CUUGAAUUAUUGCGUCAAAAAAAUAACCAAAUAUUUAAGCGAUAUAAUAGCCUAUUAGUGCUUGAUGUCUUGAAAUAAAUUUUUAGCAUGUUAUUGGUGUCUUAAUUUGCUCUGGCUUAUAACAGCCUAUUAGUGCUUUUUGUAUCAAAAUUUCCUUUGAUUUCGCCCUUGGUCUAAUAUAUUUUGUUUUACCAUGUUUAUAGGUGCUAUUUGUUCACAAAUACAGUGGCGGGGUGGUUCUUGAUUCUGCAAUUCUUAUCUCUCUUGGUUACUUUGUGUCCACUGCAAGCAUGAUCUACGCCUAACACCAGUUGGUUUGAAGUAUCCUGGAAUUUUGUAGUUUCUUUGAGGAAUCAACGGCAACUUUUACCACCAUUACCUCCUCUCCAAACUGAGGAGAGGGUGAGAGAGAAUGAUAUGCCCAGUGAUGGAAUGUUCGUGCAUGUCAAGUGUAUAAGUCCUCCCGAACUUGAUAUGGACAUUCCCCAAGAAUGCAAUCGAGAUGAGCAGAAAAAUUGAGAUCUACACAAUAGUAGAACCAAAAUUUGGAUCUCUUUCUUCUUCACAAAUAUCAUAAUAAUAUUCAUCAUCAGAAUAAUUUUCAAUUUUAUAACAAAGUCUGAAUGGUUGUUCGAAUGAUCCAUAUCUACCGCAUAGCACAUUGGAAAUGGACCAUACGAACAACGGUUCACACUUUGUUAUAAAGUUUAAAAUGAUUCUGAUGAUGAUAUUAUUGUGAUAUUUGUGAAGAAAAAAGAUAUCCAAAUUUUGAUUUUACUAUUGUGUAGAUCUCAAUUUUUCUGCUUAUUUGGAUUGCAUUCUUGGGGAAUGUCCUUUUAGGGUUUAUUACAUAUAGAUUUUUGUUAUAAAUCUAGAUACCAUACCAAUUGCUCAUAAAACAUAGCCAUUCAGGCUAUGUUGUACGUUGUUUCCCUAUGAUUAUUAUUCUUGUUUAAGCGGUAAAAUUUAAUCAUUAUUAAGCGGCUAUGCGAUUGAAUGCAUUUCAUUGAAACCAAUGACAUCUUAACAUAAAUGUUUGUUUUUAAUAUUACCAAUGGAUUAAACUAGUAAUAAGAGCAUGAUCCAUAUGUUCUCUAGAAAGUAAAACACUGGAAAGUAUGAUUAGUUUAAAGAUAUAAUGUUUAGAUUCUAAUUAUAAUAGUAUGUCGUUUGAUGAGUGGGAACCUUAACAUCAUGUCAAUUUAUUCAAAGGAGUCAAAUGUGCAGAUCUUGAGGUCUCAGAUGGAUUGAUUACAUUAUCUAAAAGUAAAUUGACAAAUUGGGCGUAAUUUGCAAAGGAGUUAAAGAAAUGACAUUCGUUCUGUUGAAAUCUGGGGGUUUGGCCCUGUGUUUAUGUACUUUUGGUUAUUGUAAAUAAAUACUUGCCCCAAAUCUAUUAAACUUGCUAACUCAGCCAAGUUAAUAAGUGCC
rnacentral:precursor_RNA from 1 species